AGAAGACGAAAGCGACGGUGUGCAGGAAGCCGGUGCGAAUCCGGCACGGUCCCGCCACUGUGAGCCGGGGAGCUGCCUCCUGUGAUGCCACUGCCGGUAUCGGUGGGAAGGCUGGAGGACAGCGACGAUCCGCGAGUCAGGAGACUGGCACCGUCGUGCCGAUUCGU
rnacentral:ncRNA from 1 species